rnacentral:rRNA from 1 species
AAAGAUGAGCAUGCGUCCCAUUAGCUAGUUGGUAAGGUAACGGCUUACCAAGGCAACGAUGGGUAGGGGUCCUGAGAGGGAGAUCCCCCACACUGGUACUGAGACACGGACCAGACUCCUACGGGGAAGGCAGCAGUGAGGAAUAUUGGUCAAUGGGCGCAAGCCUGAACCAGCCAUGCCGCGUGCAGGAUGACGGUCCUAUGGAUUGUAAACUGCUUUUGCACAGGAAGAAACACUCGGUCGUGACCGAGCUUGACGGUACUGUGAGAAUAAGGAUCGGCUAACUCCGUGCCAGCAGCCGCGGUAAUACGGAGGAUCCAAGCGUUAUCCGGAAUCAUUGGGUUUAAAGGGUCCGUAGGCGGCCAGAUAAGUCAGUGGUGAAAGCCCAUCGCUCAACGAUGGAACGGCCAUUGAUACUGUUUGGCUUGAAUUAUUUGGAAGUAACUAGAAUAUGUAGUGUAGCGGUGAAAUGCUUAGAGAUUACAUGGAAUACCAAUUGCGAAGGCAGGUUACUACAAAUUGAUUGACGCUGAUGGACGAAAGCGUGGGUAGCGAACAGGAUUAGAUACCCUGGUAGUCCACGCCGUAAACGAUGGAUACUAGCUGUUGGGAGCAAUCUCAGUGGCUAAGCGAAAGUGAUAAGUAUCCCACCUGGGGAGUACGUUCGCAAGAAUGAAACUCAAAGGAAUUGACGGGGGCCCGCACAAGCGGUGGAGCAUGUGGUUUAAUUCGAUGAUACGCGAGGAACCUUACCAAGGCUUAAAUGUAGAUUGACCGGUUUGGAAACAGACUUUUCGCAAGACAAUUUACAACGUGCUGCAUGAUUGUCGUCAGCUCGUGCCGUGAGGUGUCAGUUUAAGUCCUAUAACGAGCGCAACCCCUGUUGUUAGUUGCCAGCGAGUCAUGUCGGGAACUCUAGCAAGACUGCCAGUGUAAACUGUGAGGAAGGUGGGGAUGACGUCAAAUCAUCACGGCCCUUACGCCUUGGGCUACACACGUGCUACAAUGGCCGGUACAGAGAGAGAGC